rnacentral:rRNA from 1 species
UGAAUACGAGACGCUACGGCGUCGAAGCAGUCUAUGUCAUACUUCCAAGAAAAGCUCGCAAUGUCAUAAACAAAUAAUGCCUGUACCAUAACCGACACAGGUGGGUAGGUAGAGUAUACUAAGGGGCGCGAGAUAACUCUCUCUAAGGAACUCGGCAAAAUAACUCCGUAACUUCGGGAGAAGGAGUGCCUUAUUUAUAAGGUUGCAAUAACAAGAUCCAAGCAACUGUUUAUCAAAAACACAGGUCUCCGCUAAGUCGUAAGACGAUGUAUGGGGGCUGACGCCUGCCCAGUGCCAGAAGGUUAAAGAAGUUGGUUAGCAUUCGCGAAGCUGAUAACUGAAGCCCUGGUGAACGGCGGCCGUAACGAUAACGGUCCUAAGGUAGCGAAAUUCCUUGUCGGGUAAGUUCCGACCCGCACGAAAGGCGUAAUGAUUUGGAUACUGUCUCGGAGAGGGGCUCGGUGAAAUAGACUUGUCUGUGAAGAUGCGGACUACCUGCACCUGGACAGAAAGACCCUAUGAAGCUUUACUGUAACUUGAAAUUGAAAUUGGACUUUAUUUGCGCAGCAUAGGUGGGAGGCGUUGAGAGUAUUCUUGCGGGAAUAUUGGAGCCAUCAGUGAGAUACCACUCUUGUAAUGUUAGAUUUCUAACUUUGGAUCAUUAUCUGGUCAAAGAACAGUUUCAGGCGGGCAGUUUGACUGGGGCGGUCGCCUCCCAAAUGGUAACGGAGGCGUACAAAGGUUUCCUCUGAACGGGUAGAAAUCGUAUCUAGAGUGUAAAGGCAUAAGGAAGCUUGACUGUGAGACCUACAAGUCGAGCAGGGACGAAAGUCGGUCUUAGUGAUCUGACGGUGCUGAGUGGAAAGGCCGUCACUCAACGGAUAUAAGUUACUCUAGGAUAACAGGCUGAUCUCCCCCAAGAGUUCACAUCGACGGGGAGGUUUGGCACCUCGAUGUCGGCUCAUCGCAUCCUGGGGCGGUAGUACGUCCCAAGGGUUGGGCUGUUCGCCCAUGAAAGCGGUACGCGAGCUGGGUUCAGAACGUCGUGAGACAGUUCGGUCCAUAUCCGGUGUAGGCGUUAGAAUAUUGAGAGGAGCCUUCUUUAGUACGAGAGGACCGAGAAGGACAUACCUCUGGUGUACCAGUUAUCGUGCCAACGGUAAACGCUGGGUAGCUAUGUAUGGAGAGGAUAACCGCUGAAAGCAUCUAAGUGGGAAGCCCACCUCAAGAUAAGUAUUCUCAU